rnacentral:rRNA from 1 species
UACGGAGGGUGCAAGCGUUAUCCGGAUUCACUGGGUUUAAAGGGUGCGUAGGAGGGCAGGUAAGUCAGUGGUGAAAUCUUCGAGCUUAACUCGGAAACUGCCCGUUGAUACUAUCUGUCUUGAAUACCGUGGAGGUGAGCGGAAUAUGUCAUGUAGCGGAUGAAAUGCUUAGAUAUGACAUAGAACACCAAUUGCGAAGGCAGCUCGCUACACGAAUAUUGACUCUGAGGCACGAAAGCGUGGGGAUCAAAACAGGA